GCAAGUACUUCAACUGCCAGUCUUAACCAGUCAGUUACUGGCUACAUUCACAACAUCGCACCUCUGCGUCAUGGGGUUAAACGACAGUACUUCGAAGGAGUCUUACAACAACGCCACAAAGUCUGUAAGCUUGUGGUGUUCAAGGUGGAGCUCCAUUCUACGUUUCUGAAGACUGAGAAAGACCGAUGACCUGUCCAACUUAAUAAUGUGGUUGUCCAGCUGUUAAGGAGACAAGAUGAAACGGACAUACUGUUCACCCACCAAUCCAAAUGGUGUUGCUUGAGUUCCAGUGACUACCCUUACAACCCCAGCAUAAUGGUCCACAUUCAAGACCAAACAAUUAGCCAGAUUCUGCAAAUGGAUAUGGAAUACCACAGAGUAAGUACUAGUGGUGGGGGGGGGGGGUAAAACAGUUUUAUCAAUCUAUUCUAAACCCUUCAAGAAAAUGUUGGUAGCUUGGUUAACAAAUGCAGGUUUACUAUGACCUUUACACCUCUGCUCAUUCCACAGAUCCAGGAACUGAAUUCAUAAUUAAAUAUCAGGUUAACAUCACCGUAAAGAUAAUCCAGAUGGAAAGCGAAGGACAUGCCUUUCUUCAGGAUGAUGUCUUGCUAGAGAAAACGGUCUACACCAUAGCGGACAGCACUGGCAUCAUGGAGCUUACUGUCUGGG